rnacentral:rRNA from 1 species
AGCCAUGCCGCGUGAGUGAAGAAGGCCUUCGGGUUGUAAAGCUCUUUCUAGCCGGGAAGAAAACGACAUGGGUUAAUACCCUGUGUGGAUGACGGUACCGGAAUAAGAAGCACCGGCUAACUACGUGCCAGCAGCCGCGGUAAUACGUAGGGUGCGAGCGUUAAUCGGAAUUACUGGGCGUAAAGCGUGCGCAGGCGGUUUGUUAAGAUAGGCGUGAAAUCCCCGGGCUCAACCUGGGAACUGCGUUUAUGACUGGCAGGCUAGAGUAUGGCAGAGGGGGGUGGAAUUCCACGUGUAGCAGUGAAAUGCGUAGAGAUGUGGAGGAACACCGAUGGCGAAGGCAGCCCCCCUGGGGCCAAUACUGACGCUCAUGCACGAAAGCGUGGGGUAGCAAAACAGGAUUAGAUACCCUGGUAGUCCACGCCUAAACGAUGUCAACUAGGUGUUGGAGGGUAAAACCUUUAGUACCGGAGCUAACGCGUGAAGUUGACCGCCUGGGGGAUACGGCGCAAAGGUUAAACUCAAAGGAAUUGAC